UACGUAGGGGGCAAGCGUUGUCCGGAAUCAUUGGGCGUAAAGAGCGUGUAGGCGGUCCGGUAAGUCGGCUGUGAAAGUCCAGGGCUCAACCCUGGGAUGCCGGUCGAUACUGCCGGACUAGAGUUCGGAAGAGGCGAGUGGGAAUUCCCGGUGUAGCGGUGAAAUGCGCAGAUAUCGGGAGGAACACCUAUGGCGAAGGCAGCUCGCCUGGGACGUUACUGACGCUGAGACGCGAAAGCGUGGGGGAGCAAACAGG
rnacentral:rRNA from 1 species